rnacentral:misc_RNA from 1 species
GAAAUGCGAUAAGUAAUGUGAAUUGCAGAAUUCAGUGAAUCAUCGAAUCUUUGAACGCACCUUGCGCCCUUUGGUAUUCCGAAGGGCAUGCCUGUUUGAGUGUCAUGAAACCUCACUCCACUUGGGUUUUUGCCUGAGUGGUAGUGUAUUGGGUGUUGCCUUGCCAAAGGCUCGCCUUAAAAGAAUAAGCACCUUGGAUGUAAUACGUUUCAUCCUUCUGGGUGGCUAAUAACCCCACAUAACUCAUGAUCUGGCCUCAAAUCAGGUAGGGCUACCCGCUGAACUUAA